rnacentral:rRNA from 1 species
GACGAACGCUGGCGGCGUGCCUAAUACAUGCAAGUCGAGCGGAAAUCAGAAGAAGCUUGCUUCUUCUGAUUUUAGCGGCGGACGGGUGAGUAACACGUGGGCAACCUACCUUGUAGAUUGGGAUAACUCCGGGAAACCGGGGCUAAUACCGAAUAAUCCAUUUUGCUUCAUGGCGAAAUGUUAAAAGGCGGCUUCGGCUGUCACUACGAGAUGGGCCCGCGGCGCAUUAGCAGUUGGUAGGGUAACGGCCUACCAAGGCAACGAUGCGUAGCCGACCUGAGAGGGUGAUCGGCCACACUGGGACUGAGACACGGCCCAGACUCCUACGGAGGCAGCAGUAGGGAAUCUUCCACAAUGGACGAAAGUCUGAUGGAGCAACGCCGCGUGAGUGAAGAAGGUUUUCGGAUCGUAAAACUCUGUUGUAAGGGAAGAACACGUACGAGAGUAACUACUCGUACCUUGACGGUACCUUAUUAGAAAGCCACGGCUAACUACGUGCCA